UACGUAGGUGACAAGCGUUGUCCGGAUUUACUGGGCGUAAAGAGCGCGCAGGCGGUCGUACAAGUCGCGUGUGAAAAGCCCCUGGCUCAACUGGGGGAGGGUCACGCGAUACUGUUCGACUCGAAGGCAGGAGAGGGAAGUGGAAUUCCCGGUGUAGUGGUGGAAUGCGUAGAUAUCGGAAGGAACAUCAGUGGCGAAAGCGGCUUCCUGGACCAGUACCGACGUUCAGGCACGAAAGCGUGGGGAGCAAACAGG
rnacentral:rRNA from 1 species